rnacentral:rRNA from 1 species
UCUACGGGAGGCAGCAGGCGCGCAAAUUACCCAAUCCUAAUUCAGGGAGGUAGUGACAAUAAAUAACGAUACAGGGCCCAUUUGGGCCUUGUAAUUGGAAUGAGUACAAUGUAAAUACCUUAACGAGGAACAAUUGGAGGGCAAGUCUGGUGCCAGCAGCCGCGGUAAUA